AGGUGAUAAAACUAAGGCACAGCUAUGUAAAGUAACUUGUUCAAAGUCACACAGCUGCACAAACUCACAAAAAUAUUUUUGAGCAUCAAUCCCAUAUCCAGCCAUGUGCUAGCACUGGACACAUAAAGGGACACCAGCUGCCAUGAUGAGCCUCUGUAAUGUGGAGAAUUCAUGUGGUCAGGUACUGAGGGAGGCUUCUGGUCAAGAGCCGAUUUCAAUUCAAACACAUUUACUGAGCACCUGCAAGGAUUAAGUCUUUCUGGAGUGUAUAGGAUCCCACAAAGGAACAAACUGUGAAGCCAUUAACACAGGAUGGUGACUUCACUGCAGGAUCAAACAGAGCAGCUGGCUAGAGAGGAAAAAGGGAGCGUUCUUUUUCAAACACACAUAUAUCUUCAAUAACAACCAGGGAAAUUCAGAAAAUUACUGUCAAAGUAAAUUGCAUUUUGUAUAAAUGCCGUCUCCUUUCAAGUUUGCCCCAGCCUGCUCAUGCCUCUUUAUUUAGUGGAGUUGCCCUUUUCUCCUAAGAGACC